UACGGGGGGGCAAGCGUUGUUCGGAAUUACUGGGCGUAAAGGGCUCGUAGGUGGCCAACUAAGUCGGACGUGAAAUCCCUCGGCUUAACCGGGGAACUGCGUCCGAUACUGGUUGGCUUGAGUUUGGGAGAGGGAUGCGGAAUUCCAGGUGUAGCGGUGAAAUGCGUAGAUAUCUGGAGGAACACCGGUGGCGAAGGCGGCAAUCCUGGACCAAUACUGACGCUGAGGAGCGAAGGUCAGGGGAGCAAAGCGGG
rnacentral:rRNA from 1 species